rnacentral:lncRNA from 1 species
AGUCCCUCAUCAGAGAAAGGGGAGUCAGUAGGAGAUGGUGCAUCUAUAAGAGAAGGACUUAAUAUGAAUCUAGAUGGAUCUAAGUCAAUGAAAGGUUUGAGUAUAGUAUAGUCAAGAGAUGGAUGAGAAGGAAGAGGAGGAACCAAAGACAUUGUUCAAAAGAAGAGAAGAGCCGAGAGAAUCGGUUACGAAAAGCGAAGAAGGAGGAAGGAGACAAAGAAGAGGUUUUAGUGAAGGAUAUGAGGAAAAGAAAUAAGAAUUGGAAGAGACAAAAAGAAUGGGAAGCUUGAGGACGAAGAAAAGGCCGUCGUAUCAAACUGUCGCUUCGAUUACGAGUCCCAAGGUCAGCUGUAAUGAUGAAUAGACAGCGGCAAUUAAGAUGAGUUAAUUAAUGCCGCACAUGAGACAAAAGUAGAGAAUGCGAUCAGGGCCGUAAAGAAGAGAAUAAACGGCUUAGAUUAAAUUGUACAGAAGAUCGUAGUGCAGAAUACGUCAGAGAAUUUGAAUUUGAUUGGACCGAGAAAUACGCCUCAGAUC